rnacentral:rRNA from 1 species
AUUGAACGCUGGCGGCAGGCUUAACACAUGCAAGUCGAGCGAGCGGCGGACGGGUGAGUAAUGUCUGGGAAACUGCCUGAUGGAGGGGGAUAACUACUGGAAACGGUAGCUAAUACCGCAUACCAUCAGAUGUGCCCAGAUGGGAUUAGCUAGUAGGUGGGGUAAUGGCUCACCUAGGCGACGAUCCCUAGCUGGUCUGAGAGGAUGACCAGCCCAAAGGGAACUGAGAAACGGUCAAGACUCCUACGGGAGGCAGCAGUGGGGAAUAUUGCACAAUGGGCGGAAGCCUGAUGCAGCCAUGCCGCGUGUGUGAAGAAGGCCGUCGGGGUGGAAAGAACUUUCAGCGAGGAGGCGUUACUAGCAGAAGAAGCACCGGCUAACUCCGUGCCAGCAGCCGCGGUAAUUC